rnacentral:rRNA from 1 species
UGGGGAAUAUUGCACAAUGGGGGAAACCCUGAUGCAGCGACGCCGCGUGAGCGAAGAAGGUUUUCGAAUCGUAAAGCUCUGUCCUAUGAGAAGAUAAUGACGGUAUCAUAGGAGGAAGCCCCGGCUAAAUACGUGCCAGCAGCCGCGGUAAUACGUAUGGGGCGAGCGUUGUCCGGAAUUAUUGGGCGUAAAGGGUACGUAGGCGGUCUAUUAAGUCAGGUGUGAAAGCGUGAGGCUUAACCUCAUUAAGCACUUGAAACUGAUGGACUUGAGUGGAGGAGAGGAGAGUGGAAUUCCUGGUGUGGCGGUGAGAUGCGUGGAUAUUAGGGGGAAUACCGGUGGCGAAGGCGACUUUCUGGACUUUUAGUGACGCUCAGGUACGGGAGCGUGGGGAGCGAACAGG